rnacentral:rRNA from 1 species
UACGGAGGGUGCGAGCGUUGUCCGGAAUCACUGGGCGUAAAGGGCGCGUAGGCGGCGCGGGCAGUCAACGGUGAAAGCUCGGAGCUCAACUCCGAGUCGGCCGUCGAUACUCCCGUGCUUGAGCACUGUAGAGGCAGGUGGAAUUCCGGGUGUAGCGGUGGAAUGCGUAGAGAUCCGGAAGAACACCGGUGGCGAAGGCGGUCUGCUGGGCAGUUGCUGACACUGAGGCGCGACAGCGUGGGGAGCAAACAGG